rnacentral:rRNA from 1 species
UACGUAGGGAGCAAGCGUUGUCCGGAAUCAUUGGGCGUAAAGCGCGCGUAGGUGGCUUCGUAAGUCCGUUGUGAAAGUCAAAGGCUCAACCUUUGAAAGCCGAUGGAUACUGUGAAGCUAGAGUACGGAAGAGGCGAGUGGAAUUCCUGGUGUAGCGGUGAAAUGCGUAGAUAUACGGAGGAACACCAGAGGCGAAGGCGGAUCGCUGGGCCAACACUGACGCUGAUGUGCGAAAGCUAGGGGAGCAAACGGG